GAUAGUUCAGUUGGUUAAAGCGUGGUGCUGAUAAUGCUAUGGUUGCGGGUUCGAAUCCUGUAUGGGACA